ACACGACUACAUUAGAUACCCCUGUAGUCCUAGGCGUAAAUGAUGCGAGUUAAGUGUGGGGGCAUCUACGAGAUGGCCCUGUGCUGUAGGGUAGCCGUUAAACUCGCUGCCUGGGGAGUACGGUCGCAAGGCUGAAACUUAAAGGAAUUGGCGGGGGAGCACCACAACGGGUGGAGCUUGCGGUUUAAUUGGAUUCAACGCCGGAAAUCUUACCGGGACCGACAGCAACAUGAAGGCCAGGCUGAAGACUUUGCCGGAUUAGCUG
rnacentral:rRNA from 1 species